AACCACCCACUCCCGCCCGGAACCCAAUCAAAUCGUUUAGCCGCUCAUCAUUAUCCGCGCCCGAUGAUUCUCCAGUUCAACUCGUGCGACGCCGUGCAUCGUCGAAGCUGUCAAUCAUCACAACACAAAAAAUGUCCAGAGGCUCUUUAGAAGCAGCACAUCUUCUUGGAGAUGUGUUUCUUGAUCAUAUGCUGAAAGAGGAAAAUAAUCAAGCCA